rnacentral:lncRNA from 1 species
GCUAUUAGUCAAGAUGGUUAGGGACUCAAUCCCCAUGCUCCAGGUAUCUAGUUCUAGUGCUAGACACUGGGACUAUACAACACUUGAAAUUGCCCAGUAAUGUUCAUUUCUUCUGAAGCAUCUGGCACUGGUCACUUUCAGAAGACAAGGUACUCCCAUUGUCCGAUCAUCUCUCUUUAACCGCAUGGAAGAUUUCCCUAAUAUCUAAUAUAAAUGUCUCUAUUUUUAUUCAAUUAAGGUCUGAGAACCCAUUAGUGGAUGGACUACCUGAAGUCAAUGUUGGAUUCUUGGAUGAAGGGUCCAUCAAGGGCCAGAACACGUGUCCACACCCAAUUUUCAGCUACUUUUUGGCUCCU